GAUGAACGCUGGCGGCGUGCUUAACACAUGCAAGUCGAACGGAAAGGCCCAAGCUUGCUUGGGUACUCGAGUGGCGAACGGGUGAGUAACACGUGGGUGAUCUGCCCUGCACUUCGGGAUAAGCCUGGGAAACUGGGUCUAAUACCGGAUAGGACCACAUUUUGGAUGGUGUGGUGGAAAGUUUUUCGGUGUGGGAUGAGCUCGCGGCCUAUCAGCUUGUUGGUGGGGUAAUGGCCUACCAAGGCGUCGACGGGUAGCCGGCCUGAGAGGGUGUACGGCCACAUUGGGCCUGCGCUACGGCCCAGACUCCUACGGGAGGCAGCAGUGGGGAAUAUUGCACAAUGGGCGCAAGCCUGAUGCAGCGACGCCGCGUGUGGGAUGACGGCCUUCGGGUUGUAAACUCCUUUCGCUAGGGACGAAGCGCAAGUGACGGUACCUGGAGAAGAAGCACCGGCUAACUACGUG
rnacentral:rRNA from 1 species